GAGCCGUACCGAGCCGUGCCGAGCCCACCCGCGGGGCCGGGGGCGGUGGGGACCCCCGAGGAGGGCCCCGCGGCGCGGAGCGAGCGGCGGCGGCGGGGCCGUCCCCGGGCGCCUAUCGCCACCUGUUGGUGCCGGCACGGCUCGGCCCGGCACGGCCCGGCAGCGCCCGGCCCGGCUCGGUGCCGAUGAGCGGCCCACGGGCAGUAGGAUCGGCACGGCUUUGGCUCCGGGAGUGACGGCUGAUGAGUGCUGCGAGGCUGAAAGGAGAAGAAAACCCUUUGGCAAACGUUCGCUUUGAGUUUCUGGGCGAGCUGAAACGGGGCUCGGCCCCGGCGCUCCUCCCACGGCAUCAGACCUGGCACAAAACAUCCCAAAUCCCAACAGGGAUGAAGGAGGAGGUCGUGGUGAGGUGGGGGUCGGCCUCGGCUCCCAUCAAACAGCGACAGGACGGGAGGUGAUGGCCUCAAGCUGCAGCAGGAGGGGUUCGGGUUGGACGUUAGGAACGAUUUCCUCUCCAGAAGAGCAGUGCUGCUGCAGCACAGCUGCCCGUGGUGGUGGUGGUGGGCUCACACCAUCCCCAGGGCUGUUCAGUAACAGAUGUGGUGCCGAGGGAUGCGGUCGGUGGUUUGGUUGGACCCAGUGAUCUUAGUGGCCUUUUCCAACCCUCACGACUCAAUGAAAUCCCAACCAAAUCCCAUUGAGGACAGGGGUUGCAUCCUUACGGUGCACGGCUCCAUGCAAUGGGGGCCCAGGUGAGCACCGGGAGCGUCCGCUGUCAUGGGAUGGGGGCUCAUGGGUCCCUCAGCCCCACAUGAGUGAAACAACCAGCUCGCCUUUCUGAAUAAUUAAAUGGGAGAUGUUGGAGGAAAGAAAUCAGGGCAUCGUUUGGCUAAUUAUCUCGAAGCCAGAGCAACCAAAAAAAAAAAAAAAAAGAAAGAAAGAAAGAAAAAAAAGCACGCAAAGUUAAUUUAAUUGGGUCAAACAAUAGCGUUGCCAUGAAGCAGCUGCAUGGGGCUCCUGUAGCGCCUCGCUGGGACCUCGGCUCUGUGUCACUGCUUGGGGAACCUCGUGUUGGGGGAACACAUGGGGAAAUGGGCUUUGUGGAGCCGUGUGAGCCUGUGGGACGUUGUCCAUGUCGUCCCCAUGCUGCAGCCUGGCCGUGCCCUAUGCAAUAGCCAGGGGUUUGGGGAGCAUUGCAAAGGGAGAGUCCCAAAGCAUCCUGAAAAACAGGAAGAGAAGGCUGAGAAUGCAGCAUAGGCAGGGCUGGGAGCUCAGCUGCGGGUGCCAGGGGGAGGGGGGCACCUGGAGCUGCCCCAGAUGUUCCCCAGGUGGAGCAUCCGUGUGUCCUCCAGGGACAUCCACCCCAAGGGCUCCCGUGGAUGAGGGCGAAGCUCUGCAGCUUUAACACCUGCAGAAGGCUCCGAUGAAAAGCAAAGGCGCCGCAAUGGGAUGAAAGCGUGUGGGCAAAGCAUCUUAUCUGGGGCUGAAACAACGCGCCUGACAACAACACCCAGCGAGGAGAACGCGCUCGGAGAGGGAUGUUUUAAUCUGAUCUCGCUGCAGAAAUAAAGCGCUUCCUUGUCACAGCGCUGACAAAAGAAAAGGCGACAGAGCCAGAAAACAAUUAUAUCUGCAUAAAGAGAUAUAGGGUUGGUUUUUUAAUUUGUUAAUUAGUGACUGCUGGGCAUCACAAGGAUCGUUGUUUUCUCUGAUAUGCUGAUUUCUUCCUUCUCUCGGUGGAAUUGGAGAGCGCACGCACACAGAAAGACACUUCUUUACAAUGGGGAAUGGGGAAGAAGUUUCAGAAAGGUCAGGAGAAAUGUGAUAGGAAGAAGGAGUCUGAGUUCUCCUUUCCUGGAGGGGCUCUGUACUCCGGGUGAGAACUACCCAGGCACAACAAAAUGGGUUCUGAAUUAUAGAUCAAGAGAGUCGCCGGUGGGCGCCUCGGGUGGGGGGUGCGGAUGUGGGAUGCAAGAGGGGCAGAGAGCAAAACCCGGGGCAGGGAAAGCAGGGGAGAUUUCCUCAGCAACAUCUCUGCACUACUGAGCAACGCUGGCAAGAACUCUGCACCACCGCAGCUGGUAUCUAUGGGUCCCAAACACAACCGUAGAGAGAUCAAAAAAAACCACAGUCCCUCCGUUCCCUGCCUGCUGGGGCAGCGAGGAAGGCUUGCGUGGAAUAUUUACUCUCUCUAUCUGCCUUUAACAUAUCUAUCUGUGCUGCCAGCUGUCUGCAUUUGUGCAGCUCUUUGAACGCCGCGCUGCAGAAAUAGUUUGCUCCGGAGCAACAGAUAAAAUGGUUUUCCAGUUG